rnacentral:rRNA from 1 species
UACGUAGGGUCCAAGCGUUGUCCGGAUUUAUUGGGCGUAAAGAGCUCGUAGGCGGUUCGGUAAGUCGGAUGUGAAAACUCAGGGCUCAACCCGGAGACGCCAUCCGAUACUGCUGUGACUUGAGUCUGGUAGGGGAACACGGAAUUCCCAGUGUAGCGGUGAAAUGCGUAGAUAUUGGGAGGAACACCGGUGGCGAAGGCGGCCCCCUGGACCGGUACUGACGCUGAGGCGCGAAAGCGUGGGUAGCAAACGGG